GAUGAACGCUAGCGGCAGGCCUAAUACAUGCAAGUCGAACGGUGUCUUCGGACAUAGUGGCGCACGGGUGCGUAACACGUAUGCAACCUACCUUACAUUGGGGGAUAGCCUUUCGAAAGGGAGAUUAAUACCGCAUAAGACAGUAGCUGGGCAUCCAGCAGCUGUUAAAGAUUUAUCGAUGUAAGCUGGGCAUGCGUCCAGUUAGCUAGUUGGUGAGGUAACGGCUCACCAAGGCAAUGAUUGGUAGGGGAACUGAGAGGUCAAUCCCCCACACUGGCACUGGGAUACGGGCCAGACUCCGACGGGAGGCAGCAGUAGGGAAUAUUGGGCAAUGGACGCAAGUCUGACCCAGCCAUGCCGCGUGCAGGAUGAAGGCGUUAUGCGUUGUAAACUGCUUUUAUACAGGAAGAAACGACUCUUGCGAGAGGCAUUGACGGUACUGUAUGAAUAAGCACCGGCUAACUCCGUGCCAGCCGCCGCAGUAAAAC
rnacentral:rRNA from 1 species